rnacentral:rRNA from 1 species
UCGAACGAGUUCUCGUUGAUGAUCGGUGCUUGCACCGAGAUUCAACAUGGAACGAGUGGCGGACGGGUGAGUAACACGUGGGUAACCUGCCCUUAAGUGGGGGAUAACAUUUGGAAACAGAUGCUAAUACCGCAUAGAUCCAAGAACCGCAUGGUUCUUGGCUGAAAGAUGGCGUAAGCUAUCGCUUUUGGAUGGACCCGCGGCGUAUUAGCUAGUUGGUGAGGUAAUGGCUCACCAAGGCGAUGAUACGUAGCCGAACUGAGAGGUUGAUCGGCCACAUUGGGACUGAGACACGGCCCAAACUCCUACGGGAGGCAGCAGUAGGGAAUCUUCCACAAUGGACGCAAGUCUGAUGGAGCAACGCCGCGUGAGUGAAGAAGGCUUUCGGGUCGUAAAACUCUGUUGUUGGAGAAGAAUGGUCGGCAGAGUAACUGUUGUCGGCGUGACGGUAUCCAACCAGAAAGCCACGGCUAACUACGUGCCAGCAGCCGCGGUAAUACGUAGGUGGCAAGCGUUAUCCGGAUUUAUUGGGCGUAAAGCGAGCGCAGGCGGUUUUUUAAGUCUGAUGUGAAAGCCCUCGGCUUAACCGAGGAAGCGCAUCGGAAACUGGGAAACUUGAGUGCAGAAGAGGACAGUGGAACUCCAUGUGUAGCGGUGAAAUGCGUAGAUAUAUGGAAGAACACCAGUGGCGAAGGCGGCUGUCUGGUCUGUAACUGACGCUGAGGCUCGAAAGCAUGGGUAGCGAACAGGAUUAGAUACCCUGGUAGUCCAUGCCGUAAACGAUGAAUGCUAGGUGUUGGAGGGUUUCCGCCCUUCAGUGCCGCAGCUAACG